UACGUAGGGUGCGAGCGUUAAUCGGAAUUACUGGGCGUAAAGCGUGCGCAGGCGGUUCGUCGUGUCCGAUGUGAAAGCCCCGGGCUCAACCUGGGAAUGGCAUUGGAAACUGGCGGACUCGAGUGUGGCAGAGGGGGGUGGAAUUCCGCGUGUAGCAGUGAAAUGCGUAGAGAUGCGGAGGAAUACCGAUGGCGAAGGCAGGUCUCUGGGCUGACACUGACGCUCAUGCACGAAAGCGUGGGGAGCAAACAGG
rnacentral:rRNA from 1 species